UGCAAGUCGAGCGGCAGCACGGGGAGCUUGCUCCCUGGUGGCGAGCGGCGGACGGGUGAGUAAUGCAUAGGAAUCUGCCCGGUAGUGGGGGAUAACCUGGGGAAACCCAGGCUAAUACCGCAUACGUCCUACGGGAGAAAGCAGGGGACCUUCGGGCCUUGCGCUAUCGGAUGAGCCUAUGUCGGAUUAGCUGGUUGGUGAGGUAAUGGCUCACCAAGGCGACGAUCCGUAGCUGGUCUGAGAGGAUGAUCAGCCACAUCGGGACUGAGACACGGCCCGAACUCCUACGGGAGGCAGCAGUGGGGAAUAUUGGACAAUGGGCGCAAGCCUGAUCCAGCCAUGCCGCGUGUGUGAAGAAGGCCCUUGGGUUGUAAAGCACUUUCAGUGGGGAAGAAAGCCUUCCGGUUAAUACCCGGGAGGAGGGACAUCACCCACAGAAGAAGCACCGGCUAACUCCGUGCCAGCAGCCGCGGUAAU
rnacentral:rRNA from 1 species